rnacentral:lncRNA from 1 species
AUGAAUGAUAAACAAACACGUGUGAUGGGUUUAAAUCUAAAAAGCAGAAAAUUCAAUUCAAGGUUUAAAAGUUGUGUGUGUGUCUGUGUGUGUGUGUCUGCGUGUGUCUGUGUCUGUGUGUGUCUGUGUGUGUGUGUCUGUGUGUGUGUGUGUGUGUCUGUGUGUGUGUGUGUCUGUGUGUGUGUGUCUGUGUGUGUGUGUCUCUGUGUGUGUGUGUGUGUGUGUGUGUCUGCGUGUGUCUGUGUCUGUGUGUGUCUGUGUGUGUGUGUCUGCGUGUGUCUGUGUCUGUGUGUGUCUGUGUGUGUGUGUCUGUGUGUGUGUGUCUGCGUGUGUCUGUGUCUGUGUGUGUCUGUGUGUGUGUGUGUGUGUCUGUGUGUGUGUGUGUGUGUGUGUGUGUGUGUGUGUGUCUGUGUGUGUGUGUCUGCGUGUGUCUGUGUCUGUGUGUGUCUGUGUGUGUGUGUCUGUGUGUGUGUGUGUGUGUCUGUGUGUGUGUGUGUGUGUGUGUGUGUCUGUGUGUGUGUGUCUGCGUGUGUCUGUGUCUGUGUGUCUGUGUGUGUGUGUCUGCGUGUGUCUGUGUGUCUGUGUGUGUGUGUCUGUGUGUGUGUGUCUGUCUGUGUGUGUCUGUGUGUGUGUGUCUGUGUGUGUGUCUGUGUGUGUCUGUGUCUGUGUGUGUGUGUCUGUGUGUGUGUGUGUGUCUGUGUGUGUGUGUCUGUGUGUGUCUGUGUGUGUGUGUGUGUGUGUGUCUGUGUGUGUCUGUGUCUGUGUGUGUGUGUCUGUGUGUGUCUGUGUGUGUGUGUCUGUGUGUGUCUGUGUCUGUGUGUGUCUGUGUCUGUGUGUGUGUGUGUGUCUGUGUGUGUCUGUGUCUGUGUGUGUCUGUGUGUGUCUGUGUCUGUGUGUGUCUGUGUCUGUGUGUGUGUCUGUGUGUGUCUGUGUCUGUGUGUGUCUGUGUGUGUCUGUGUCUGUGUGUGUGUGUCUGUGUGUGUCUGUGUGUGUGUGUGUCUGUGUCUGUGUGUGUCUGUGUCUGUGUGUCAGGAGGUCAUGUUUACGACACGCCAUGACUCAGGAAAACGUUCCUGCAGUCUCACAUCCUCCUCUGCAGCCGGCUCAGUCACGUCGCUCACGAGGAGUCUGAGAAGCCUCCUCCCGACUCCUCCCGACUCCUCCUGA